rnacentral:misc_RNA from 1 species
GAUGAAGAACGCAGCGAAAUGCGAUAAGUAAUGUGAAUUGCAGAAUUCAGUGAAUCAUCGAAUCUUUGAACGCACAUUGCGCCCGCCAGUAUUCUGGCGGGCAUGCCUGUUCGAGCGUCAUUUCAACCAUCAAGCCCUGCUUGCGUUGGGGUCCUGCGGCUGCCCGCAGGCCCUGAAAACCAGUGGCGGGCUCGCUAGUCACACCGAGCGCAGUAAUACAUCUCGCUUUGGGCGUGCGGCGGGUUCUUGCCGUUAAACACCCCCUUUUUACCAAGGUUGACCUCGGAUCAGGUAGGAAUACCCGCUGAACUUAAGCAUACAAUAAGCGGAGGA